rnacentral:rRNA from 1 species
UACGAGGGGGGCGAGCGUUGUUCGGAAUUAUUGGGCGUAAAGGGCGCGUAGGCGGUGCGGUAAGUCACCUGUGAAACCCCCGGGCUCAACUCGGGGCCUGCAGGCGAAACUGCCGUGCUGGAGUGCGGAAGAGGUGAGUGGAAUUCCCGGUGUAGCGGUGAAAUGCGUAGAUAUCGGGGAGGAACACCUGUGGCGAAAGCGGCUC